GAAGAGUUUUAUUCUAGCUUGUAAAUUAAAUAUUUAAUUAUAUUACAUGCAUAACUUUAAAUUGGUUGAAAAUUAUCUAAAUGAUAAUUAUUCAUAGCGCAGUAUUAAGUAUUAUUAAUUAUUAAUUUUAGAGAUAAUAAAUUUAUUUAUAGAGGACAAAAUUCGUGCCAGCAGUUGCGGUUACACGAUUCUCUAAAUUUAGUUAUAUUAGUUUCAGUUAAAAAUAAAUUAAUAAUAAGUUUUUUAAAUUUUGGUGGAAUAAUGUAUAAAUAUGUAUUUACUUUUAUGUCUGAGAAACUUUUGUUUAAAACUAGGAUUAGAUACCCUAUUAUUAAAAGUGUAAAUAAAAUAACUAGAUUAUUAAUAGUUAUGAUCUUUAAAUUCAAAGAAUUUGGCGGUAAUUUAUCUAAUCAGAGGAAUCUGUUUUGUAAUCGAUAGCCCACGAUAGAUUUCACUUUAUAUAUAUUUGUAUACCUCUGUCAAGAAUGUUUUAUCAGAAUAAUUUUCAUUAAUUUUAUUAAUAAAAUGUCAGGUCAAGGUGCAGUUAAUUUUAAAGAAAGAAUGGAUUACAUUAUUAUAAAAAUGGAUUAUUUUCUAUAAUGAAAAUCAUGAAAUUGGAUUUGAAAGUAAAAUUAUUAAAUAUAAUUUCUUGAAUAUAGGGCCUAAAUUAUGCACAUAUCGCCCGUCACUCCCACUAUAAAGUUGGAUAAGUCGUAACAAAGUAGCUGUACUGGAAAGUGUGGCUAGGGUG
rnacentral:ncRNA from 1 species